UACAGAGGUCUCAAGCGUUGUUCGGAUUCAUUGGGCGUAAAGGGCGCGUAGGCGGCCUUCUAAGUCGAACGUGAAAUCCCCGGGCUCAACCCGGGAACUGCGUCCGAUACUGGAAGGCUUGAAUCCGGGAGAGGGAUGCGGAAUUCCAGGUGUAGCGGUGAAAUGCGUAGAUAUCUGGAGGAACACCGGUGGCGAAGGCGGCAUCCUGGACCGGCAUUGACGCUGAGGCGCGAAAGCGUGGGGAGCGAACAGG
rnacentral:rRNA from 1 species